CUCAGGCUUAGCUCUGCCUCUGGGUAAGUGACUUUGAGGAGUGUGUCAGCUGGAGGUUUUGGUUGUCAACGGCAGAAAAAAUCCAGGCUCAUUUGAGCAACAGGGCAAUUGAAUUAGGAUGCUAUUGGGUGCACACUGACACAGCGGGAAGGCUGGGAACCAGACAGAGACCCUGGCACCUUGGGGGAUGGGAAGCAGAAGCCCCAGGAACUGCCCUUCGUGCAAAUGCUUGGAUCAGGGUGUGGUAGCUGACAUGAGUGAGCUCAAGAGUGCCAAAGGGCAGCUCCUUGUUGGGUUCACCACUGUGCUGGGGGAGGAGGAGGAAGGACCCUGAGCUUUGGCCUCAGUGGUGGAAACCAGGCACCAGGGUCCAUAGCUGUGCAAGACCUCCCCUCUUCGGAGGGAGUGAUUCCUCAAGAGAAAAUCAGCAACUGUCCAAAGAGGAAGUGGAUGUUGGGACAAACAACUGUCACAUGACUAAUCCCUUGCUUGAGAAAAGGGGGCUGGACCAGGCAACCGCUAUGUCUGUCUUCAUUAAACAUUUACGAAAGCUCCCUACCACUUCUUUCUUGAGAUCUUCCCCUUUCUUUGUCAGGUGGGUGUUGAGACUUGCACUCCUGGAUUCUUUAUUGCCUGUGGUGCCUCCCUGGCCUUUGACUGCUCCCCGGUGUCUCCCCAGUGGAGGCGUUGGCCUCUGUUUGUUCAGGAAGGUCACCAAGGCUUAUACUGCUAUAAAAAAGCAGAGUGAGCAGCUUUCAGGUCUGUGGGAGAGAAGGGUUAGCUCUGACCACUGAACACCUCCCCCACCACCACCACCAAGAGGACCUGGCUCACAUUUUGUGAUAAAGAAGGAAGACAGCACUUGGGUGGUCACUCUCCAGGGAGCAGACACUUGCUGCUAAAAAAACGAGGUCAGUCAGCAACAGCGCAUUUGCCUGCCCACAUCCCUUCUGAGGGCAGCUGAUGGCACUCUAGCACUCUAGUCAGUGCUUGCCCUACAGCCAUCGUCUCCCCUCAUUCCUGCUGAUGGGACCUGGGAUUUGGGUCAGACCGGAGGUCUCUUGGUCUUGGGCAAAGUAGACCCUUUCUCCAAGCCCAGGAAUGGGUCAUAAUUGGUCUAAGCCAGCCAACUUAUCUCCCUCCCUUCUGCCAAUGAUCGGGCAUGUCACUUGGUCAUGGUCAAUGACACAGAGAGAAAUGAGGCAGAAAUCCAUGGGGGCUUCCCAGUGGCAAGCAGCAAGUACUACCCCUACUCUUUCCCUCUAGCUGGACUUCGGCAGCCAACUUGGGGCCAUGAGAUGGCACUAUUGAGGAUGAGAAGCGAACCCCUAAGAGCAACAAAGCAAAGAAUUAGAAAGAGCCAGGAUUCUGCAUGGCACGCCACAGUCCCGACUCCUAUCUCCACGCUUCUCAUAUGGUAAUCCAAGAACUGCUUAUGCCACAAGCAGUGGUUGGCUAUUCUGCUGUUUGUGACCAAAGUAUUCCCAUCUGAUAGAAAAUAGCCAUCCAAAUCAACCCGGCGCCACUGUCUCCUCCACCGGCGUCUGCACAGUGUCACCCCGGCUGCUGCAGGCUGCGCCCCAGAAGGCAGUCCCCACCCGACCUCUGCAGGCCAGCGGUCUGCUCUGCAGCGGUGCCCCCAGCACACCACACGUGCCGUGUUGUCCUUUGCUAGGCUCCAGGGCGACCUUCAGAGCAAGAGGGCAUGUAAAUAAAAGGUCUUAUGUUUUAUAUGCUGGUCA
ensembl:lncRNA